UAAGGUUUCCUGUCCAAUGCAAGUCAGAGCAGGGUCAGCCGGCCCCUAAGGCGAGGCCGAAAGGCGUAGCCGAUGGGAAGCGCGUCAACAUUCGCGCGCCGCUAGACGGACGUUACGAGCCAGGGAGCGACGGGAUUGGGAAGGCCGACGGGCGAUCAGAAAUGCCCGAUGAGGCCCGAGGGGUAGCGGCAGGCAAAUCCACCGCGACAUCCCCGGAGGCACCACGAGCCCAUUUAUGUCGGCGAAGAGGCUGGAACAAUCUCCGAGAAAAACUUCGUGGUCAGUCCGGCUGGCGACCGUACCAGAAACCGACACAGGCAGGC
rnacentral:rRNA from 1 species